GUUCAGCAAAGCAUGACUUCAUCCAUUUGCUUACUUGACAUCUUCACAGGGAGCAGUAGAGAUCAGUCUAUUCCAUGCAUCAGAUCUGAAAUAAAACAGAUUUUGUAACAAAAACUGUAACAUGAUGCCUUUAUGGGAUUCAUAUUCUAUCCCCGGUUCGCCCAUAAAGAAUAUAUUAGCUGUUCUGUAUUGUAAGCAUUAGCUUGGUGUUCUUAGCCUGUCCCUAUUUAGCUAUUCUCUAUAUAGUCUUAGCUUGGUGACGUUAGCCUUUCGCUAUAUUAGCUCUUAUGCGUGUAUUGUAACCAUUACGUUCUGUGAGCGUUAGCUCGGCGCGUUAGCCUAGGCUAUACGUAUUGAGAGCGUUAGCUCCGCACGUUAGCCUCUGCGCGGUAGCCUGUCGCUCCACGCAGUCUACGAUGAUAACAGCGGGGUUCAGUUGGACCGUGUCCCCGGCUUACCGAAUUCAAGAUAGGAUGUUUCUUUGUGUUAACUAAUCAAACGCGAGUGGCCACGUUUAUUAAACGUGUAUUAUAUCUAUCGCGAAAAGAUUCAGAAGAUAGAUGUUUUGUAUACAAAAACAUGAACAGAUGGUAAACAUUACACAUUUUGCCAUUCUUUUGAUCGGUGCCAUUGACGCAGUCGUUUUAUAAUGUCUCUCAUUGACAAAUUCACCUUCACCGUGUUGAAAUCUGAUGUAAACACUGGUACACACUGAACAAGGUACAAUACAAAUCAAACACCAAUGUUCAGCAUUGUGUGCAGCAUGCGUUGUAUCAUAGGCAGUCCUGUAGCUGUCACAUCGUUUUACAGUCAUCUCCUGAAUCUGUACAAUAUAGUUAAUCCAUACAGCCCACUCCCUAGGGGGGGAAGAAGCUGUCACUUUAUUUAUUUAUUUUUUUAUUUUUUUUUAUUUUUUCAUCGAUUUAUGAUGACCAUAUGCUCUGUAAGGUGACCUUGGGUGUCUUGAAAGGCGCCUCUAAAUUAAAUGUAUUAUUAUUAUUACUUAACUAUCAGGGAAAUAUCCGUCAAAUUUUCCCCUCAGUCACAGAGAGCACAGCCACUCAAUAGCUUUAUAUGUAAUAUCAAAUGUCAAUAUCGAUUGACUUCAGAUUGAUUUGGUUGUUUAUUUCAAUACUAAAAUGUAUUUGUGUGUUCAUGCCUAUGCCUGUUUAGUUUGGAAUGCUUUUAUGCCCUAUCACAAACUUUAUUAUAUGUAUAUUAUAUAUAUAUAUAUAGGCCUAUAUAUAUUAUAUAAAUGCUUCAGAAAUGUUAUGGGGUUAAAACCCUUCAGUGAUGUAGGUCACUGUUGUCACUUUCGGGUUAGGGGGACUUGAUGCUAUGGUUUUACAAAGUACCCUGAGUAGGUUCUGUUUUAACAGAUACUCUCAAAGUCUGAGUAAGUUAUACUCUGACUAACCCCAUUAACUUCCCUUGCGCAUUCAUAUUUUAAUAUAAAACAAAGAAAGUUCCUGGUUUCAGGAAAAUUCUUAUUUAUAUUUCGCUGCAAAACCAACAGUUCCCGUCUCACCAUGCCUGAC